GAGGACGCGAAGAAGUGCCAGCAACUGCAAUCACACAUCACCAAGGAAAAGUUCACUCAGUCCUUGCUAAGUGACCUCUAUAUUCUCAGAGUUCAGGUGAAUUUGAAAAUAAAUUAAAACGAAAAAUCAUCUAAUAACGAAAAAUCAUCUAAUAAAAAUGAUUAUAUAGAUUAGCUCAAACUCAAUAAAUACAUUCAAACUUAACCUUUUUUUCCUUACUUUAGUGAAUACCCUUUGAGCUUUUAGGUCACACUUAGGUCACGUUUGGUAGAGCGCAAUGUAAUGCAAUGUAAUUAAUUAUGUAAUGUAAUCAAAGUUAUAAUGUAUUGUAUUGUCAUUAUAUUUCUAAAUUUGGUUGUAAAAUAAAAGUAUAAGUAGUGUAAUAUAAUAAUAAUUUUGAUUUUAAUAU
rnacentral:misc_RNA from 1 species